UGCGCUUACCUCUAAGAAACCUGGUUUGUCAAUGUCACAUUAUUUUUACUGAUUAUAUCUGUUGUUCUAUUGUGGUGUUGUGAGAAACUUUGUUGCUAGUAUUAGCAGAUGCUUUAGCCAGAAAUUAUUGAGAAGUUAUGGUUGAGAGUUGAUGUUAAUUAUGUGUUUGAAAAUAUGUUUCUGAGAACUGAGAAGGUAGCUGUUUCGUGUCUUACCAAAAUUGAAAGCGAAUUUAUAUUGUAUAAGGGGUAAAUUACACAAGUGGUCUCUGAACUUAGGUGCGGUAUCUAAACUUCAAUUUGUAAUAUAAAAACCCACCAACUUUAAUUUAGUUUUUAGUUAAUAUAGAAGUCCUUAUGACCUAUAAUAAUGGUUUUACAUGUUUUCUGUUGAUGUGGCGUCAUGUUAAAAAAACAAAAGAGCUAAAUAGCCUUAACCAUCUACCUCACUCUCCUACACUGGAGCUUUGCCAUCUUCUUCUAUUUUUCGUCUUUUUCUAUUUUCUCAACAAACAAACAUGUUUUCUUUCCCACCCACAUCCUAAUCUUCUCUCAUUUUUGUCUCUUCCCCCACUUUCUACCCUGUUUCUCCCUCUCUCUGCUUAAAAAAUGAAAAAAUUUUCAUCCCAUGGACAAAUCAGAAUGACAAAAUUUUCAAUCUACAAAUAAAUUUCUCAAAUCAUAAAAUAACAAGUUCUUUCAAUAAAUUUGAGAACUUCAAUAUAAAAAAUCAACAAAUGUAUUCAACUGAACGCAAGAUUACAAUAAAAUCAACAAAACCUGUUUAAAAAAAAAAAAACUCCACAUUCAUUAUCGCAACAAUUAAAGAAAGACACCAGAUCACUAGUUCACUGUUGCCAAAGAAUCUGGCUUGAACAAACUCAAUUGGAAAAAGGAAGGCUGAUUGUUUAUUGGGUUGGAGCUAUGCCAAGAAGCUUUGUUGCUGCAAUUCGAGCUUAUUAAAUUAUUGCUCGUGGUUCAUCGUGUGGAGGACACUUUGUUUCUGCAAUGCCUUUCCCAUGCUUAUCAUCCAUCCCAAUUCAACAAGAAACCAAUCAAAGCCCUAUUCUUCAAACCCCCCAUUUUGAUCAUACCCACAAACCCAAUCAAAGCAAGAACCUAAUAGGCAUCAUCUCAUCAUACUUACAAACCCCUCAUUCUCUAAAGCCACUAUUACAGAAAAUGGAUAAACCCUCAACAAAGCAGAAGAAGUAGGCGAAAAGAGGUAGAGAAACAACAAAACUAGAACCAAACUGACCAAGAAACAUUGUAUCAUCAAUCAUCAUCAUAAAAAAAAAAAAGAUUAAAAGUAAAAUAUGUGAUUGAAUAUUAGAUUUGGGUUUCUCUAUUGCUAUAAGUGGACACUAAAAAAAGGAGAAGAAGGAGAAAGACAAGGAGAUUGUUAGGGAUUUGGGGAAGAAAGAGCUGGGAUAGGUGGGAAGAAGAAGAAGAAGAAAAUGUUGGGGUUUUGGGGAAGAAAAGGUUGGGCUGGGAUGUGUGGAGAGAGAGAGAGAGAGAGUAAUUUAAUAGGAGGGGUAAAGGUGAUUAAAUUGGUACUGGCUCUGGUCGGUGAUGUGGGUGCACUAGAUGCUGACUUUAC
rnacentral:misc_RNA from 1 species